rnacentral:rRNA from 1 species
CAGCAGCCGCGGUAAUACGGAGGAUGCAAGCGUUAUCCGGAUUCAUUGGGUUUAAAGGGUCCGUAGGCGGAUUAGUAAGUCAGUGGUGAAAUCUUGCGGCUCAACCGUAACAUUGCCACUGAUACUGUUAGUCUUGAAUGCAGUCGAGGUAGGCGGAAUGUGUAGUGUAGCGGUGAAAUGCUUAGAUAUAAGCAAGAACACCGAUGGCGAAGGCAGCUUGCUGAACUGUGAUUGACGCUGAUGCACGAAAGCGUGGGGAUCAAACAGGAUUAGAUACCCUGGUAGUCCACGCUGUAAACGAUGAUUACUCGUUGUUUGCGAUAUAUUGCAAGCGACUGAGCGAAAGCAUUAAGUAAUCCACCUGGGGAGUACGUUCGCAAGAAUGAAACUCAAAGAUUGACGGGGGCCGCACAAGCGGUGAGCAUGUGGUUUAAUUCGACGCUACGCGUGACUUACCAGCUUGACAUGUAUUUGAGCUAUCGAAGAUAGGCUGUCUAAGACACAGAUACACAGGUGUUGCAUGCUGUCGUCAGCUCGUGUCGUGAAAUGUUGGGUUAAGUUCCCCAACGAGCGCAACCCCUAUCAUUAGUUGCUAACCCGCAAGGGUGCACUCUAACGAGACUGCCAGUGUUAACUGGAGGAAGAUGGGGACGACGUCAAGUCAGUACGGCCCUUAUGCCUUGGGCAACACACGUGCUACAAUCCCCGCUACAAAGAGCAGCGAUACCGUAAGGUGGAGCAAAUCUCAAAAAGCGGGGCCAGUUCAGAUUGAGGGCUGCAAUUCGCCCUCAUGAAGCCGGAAUCGCUAGUAAUCGCGCAUCAGACACGGCGCGAUGAAUACGUUCCCGGGUCUUGUACACACCGCCCGUCAAGCCACCCGAGUUGACUGCACCCG